CUGCAGCCCGAGUGGUGAUCGAUUUUAUUGAGCCUAAAGCGUCCGUAGCCGGACUAGUAAACCCUUGGGUAAAUUGGGCAGCUUAACUGUCCAAAUUCCGAGGGGACUGCUAGUCUUGGGACCGGGAGAGGUCAGAGGUACUCAAGGGGUAGGGGCUAAAUCCUGUAAUCCUUUGGGGACCACCAGUGGCGAAGGCGUCUGACUAGAACGGAUCCGACGGUAAAGGACGAAACCCUGGGGCGCGAACCGGAUUAGAUACCCGAGUAGUCC
rnacentral:rRNA from 1 species